rnacentral:rRNA from 1 species
CAGUAGCCGCGGGAAUACGUAGGUGGCAAGCGUUGUCCGGAAUUAUUGGGCGUAAAGCGCGCGCAGGUGGUUUAAUAAGUCUGAUGUGAAAGCCCACGGCUCAACCGUGGAGGGUCAUUGGAAACUGCUAAACUUGAGUGCAGGAGAGAAAAGUGGAAUUCCUAGUGUAGCGGUGAAAUGCGUAGAGAUUAGGAGGAACACCAGUGGCGAAGGCGGCUUUUUGGCCUGUAACUGACACUGAGGCGCAAAAGCGUGGGGAGCAAACAGGAUUAGAUACCCCGGUAGUCCCUGUCUCUUAUAC